GAUCAUGGCUCAGAUUGAACGCUGGCGGCAGGCCUAACACAUGCAAGUCGAACGGUAACAGGAAACAGCUUGCUGUUUCGCUGACGAGUGGCGGACGGGUGAGUAAUGUCUGGGAAACUGCCUGAUGGAGGGGGGAUAACUACUGGAAACGGUAGCUAAUACCGCAUAACGUCGCAAGACCAAAGAGGGGGACCUCGGCGUCU
rnacentral:rRNA from 1 species